UACGUAGGGUGCAAGCGUUAAUCGGAAUUACUGGGCGUAAAGCGUGCGCAGGCGGUUAUGUAAGACAGAUGUGAAAUCCCCGGGCUCAACCUGGGAACUGCAUUGUGACUGCAUAGCUAGAGUACGGUAGAGGGGGAUGGAAUUCCGCGUGUAGCAGUGAAAUGCGUAGAGAUGUGGAGGAACACCGAUGGCGAAGGCAGCCCCCUGGGUCAAGAUUGACGCUCGAUGCACGAAAGCGUGGGGGAGCAA
rnacentral:rRNA from 1 species